rnacentral:rRNA from 1 species
UACGGAGGGGGCGAGCGUUGUUCGGAAUCAUUGGGCGUAAAGGGCGCGUAGGUGGUUCUGUAUGUCUGCCGUGAAAGGGUACAGCUUAACUGUAGCUUGUCGGUAGAAACUGCAGGACUUGAGGCUGGGAGGGGCUGGUGGAAUUCCCUGUGUAGCGGUGAAAUGCGUAGAGAUGGGGGAGAACACUCGUGGCGAAGGCGGCCAGCUAGACCAGUUCUGACACUGAGGCGCGACAGCGUGGGGAGCAAACAGG